rnacentral:tRNA from 1 species
CGCGAGGUGGCCGAGGUCCUCGCCUGGCGUACCUGGUUGGAGGCCAGGCAGGUGACCCAGCCGUUCAAGCAGGCCCACCGCGA